rnacentral:rRNA from 1 species
GAUGAACGCUGGCGGCGUGCCUAAUACAUGCAAGUCGAGCGAACGGACGAGAAGCUUGCUUUUCUGAUGUUAGCGGCGGACGGGUGAGUAACACGUGGAUAACCUACCUAUAAGACUGGGAUAACUUCGGGAAACCGGAGCUAAUACCGGAUAAUAUUUUGAACCGCAUGGUUCAAAAGUGAAAGACGGUCUUGCUGUCACUUAUAGAUGGAUCCGCGCUGCAUUAGCUAGUUGGUAAGGUAACGGCUUACCAAGGCAACGAUGCAUAGCCGACCUGAGAGGGUGCUCGGCCACCCUGGGACUGAGACACGGUCCAGACUCCUACGGGAGGCAGCAGUAGGGAAUCUUCCGCAAAGGGCGAAAGCCUGACGGAGCAACGCCGCGUGAGUGAUGAAGGUCUUCGGAUCGUAAAACUCUGUUAUUAGGGAAGACCAUAUGUGUAAGUCACUGUGCACAUCUUGACGGUACCUCAUCAGAGAGCCACGGCUAACUACGUG